UCCAGUUUGGCGGGGAUAAUCCGUUCCUUGUUCUUCCUUUCUCCGAACUGUCCUCACUUAGGUCUCUUCUCUUUCCUGGGCUGUGAUAGCAGUGGGGAGGCGUUGGGAGAAAAUAUCUGGUUGUCGGAGAGAGACGGGGAGCCCCCAGCACGGGCGUAGCCGCCUGCCGGUGUAGGCUCAGAAGCUCGGCUUGACCCUGGAUGCCCCAGGUUGCUUCCAGGGCAAGUGCAGCCCGGUUCUGAGGCCUCGUGGCGCUCUUGCUAUUUUUCUGGCAGGCAAUGGUCUUGAAGAGUCCAGAGUGUGGUGAACAUGAUUGCAUUGUGGAACAGGCAAGAGUUCAACCAAAAGGAGGAGAUUGUUAAAGAGAAACAACAUACUCAAAUGGAGUCGGUUGUGUUCACAGGCCAGCAGCACUCAAUCCACUGAACUACACCAGCCAGGGCCAAAAAUGUUUUAAUGAAGGAGUGUUGUGUGCAUCUCAUGCCACUCGCGGUGAUUUUGCAGAAGCCAUGGUACCAGCCAACAUCCACGACCCCACAGGUAUUCUCCUUCUGCAAAUGGUCCGAACCAGGUGUCUUCCCAACAGAGAUAGAUCUUGUGCAAGAUGAAUUCUAGUACCAGCUAAUAAAAGUAAGUAAUAAUAAGAGGAAGCAGUUUUGUUAUGUUAGAGUGAGAUAAUUUCUGGUCAACUUCCCAGGGUGUCCAGUGCCCUAGUCCCUGCCAUCUGGGGGGAGAUUAGCGGAGGGGGACAAGAAGUGUGACUAAGGAAUUACCUCUGUCUGCUUCCUGGGAGGCAUUUCUCCUACUGCAG